rnacentral:rRNA from 1 species
CUACGGGCCGCUCCAGUAGAGAAUCUUCCGCAAUGGACGAAAGUCUGACGGAGCGACACCGCGUGAAGGACGAAGGCCUAGGGUUGUAAACUUCUUUUAUGGGGGAAGAAAAUCUGACGGUACCCCAUGAAUAAGGUCCGGCUAAUUACGUGCCAGCAGCCGCGGUAAUACGUAAGGACCAAAUGUUAUCCGGAAUUAUUGGGCGUAAAGCGUCCGCAGGUGGUGCAGAAAGUUUGUCAUUAAAUACCAGUGCUUAACAUUGGUGCCGUGGCGAAAACUUCUGUACUUGAGGAUGGGAGAGGUAUAUGGAAUUGUGCAAGUAGGGGUAAAAUCCGUAGAUAUGCACAGGAACACCAAAAGCGAAGGCAGUAUACUGGACCAUUCCUGACACUCAGGGACGAAAGCGUGGGUAGCAAAAGGGAUUAGAUACCCCAGUAGUC